AUUGAACGCUGGCGGCAGGCCUAACACAUGCAAGUCGAGCGGAUGAAGGGAGCUUGCUCCUGGAUUCAGCGGCGGACGGGUGAGUAAUGCCUAGGAAUCUGCCUGGCAGUGGGGUAUAACGUCCGGAAACGGGCGCUAAUACCGCAUACGUCCUGAUGGUGAAAGUGGGGGAUCUUCGGACCUCACGCUAUCAGAGGAGCCUAGGUCGGUCUAGCUAGUUGGUGGGGUAAAGGCCUACCAAGGCGACGAUCCGUAACUGGUCUGAGAGGAUGAUCAGUCACACUGGAACUGAGACACGGUCAAGACUCCUACGGGAGGGAGCAGUGGGGAAUAUUGGACAAUGGGCGAAAGCAUGAUCCAACCGUGCCGAGUGUGUGAAGAAGGUCUUCGGAUUGUAAAGACCUCUAAGUGGGGAGGAAGGGCAGUAAGUUAAUACCUUGCUGUAUUGACGUUACCAACAGAAUAAGCACCGGCUAACUUCGUG
rnacentral:rRNA from 1 species